UUAAAGAAAAUGCCUUUUUAUAUAACUUGUUAUUUCUUAAACAAAAUACAGAAAACAAACCCCAGUCGUACACUGCAGGUUGAAUUUGUCACUUCACUGCUGGUGGACGCUUUUAGCUGAGCUUGUGUUUAUUUCUUUACCUGAGUACAUCCUGUAAAGGUAACCGCUGAAACAUUAUUUUCAUAGGCCCUGUGGUAGCACGCUGAGGGUCACACGACAUCUAAAAAUAUGAAAACCAAAAAUAAAUAAAGGAGAAUUGAAUGUCUUCUGUUGUUCAGGUCUUGCAACACAUGGUCUACGAAUCUCUGCGUACUAUUAUAGCUGCAUAAAACGUGUAUUAUAUUUUACAUUUUCAACCCAACAGCUCUGUCUCUUACUGUACAAUGGCUGAUAUUGUCUGUUGGGUAAAACGACCUUCUGUUCCCACUUCAUAUUUACAUGUUCUAAAAGUUCAUUUCCAAAAAUAAAACAACUCUUGAAAUGAACACAGUGUCUACAUUUUCCCAGAUAAAGUGACAAGCUAGUUGGGUUUUAUCCAAAAAGGAGUCAUAGAAUGCCUUCCAUUGAAACACCCAUAGUGCCCUCUAUCGACCAAAUCAGGGAAGUAACGUUUAUCAGCUUUUGUAAAGUCAAACAUUGCGGUAAUUACGAUAAGUAAUUAAGUAUAAUUUUUAUUUUAAGGUUAAUUUACCUAGCGCUGUAGUACACACAAUACCCUCACAAUAUCUUUUUCUUGGUUUUCUUUUUUCUGUCCCUUUUGGAAUGUUCUUAGAGAAAUCGUUUAUCAGUGUAAACAUAGACCCAGUAGACGGCGGUAAUGAAACCCACAAGAUUCAAAAGCAAAGAGGAAAAAUGUGCAUUGGUUCAAGGCACCUGGGAGCCACCUUCCAAACCGCUAACCUCCCACUUGUAGCUGCUGCUCAGAAAGAUGUACCAAACCACCGAUCAGAACCAUCAACCUCUAUUAGGAACAGAUACGCAACACUAACUUUACAAGAAUAUAGCCUGUUUCCAAAGACAUGCAGGCAAUGUCCACCAUCACAGAUGGCUAAAUCACAAACAAGAUCAACGACGUACGAGAAACCCUCAUGUGGCUAUAUCAUUAAGGAGCAACUUUAGAAUUAAAAUGCCAGCAGCAUGCACUUUGCGCGAAAGAGAGGCAGAAAUGAAGGCCCUUAAACUUACUCAUAACAUAACUCCACGUUUGGCUAUGCAAAUUCACUCCACACUGGAAUAGAGAAGCUCACAACAUCCACGGUCUGCAAGGAAAAAAUAGCUAAAACUGCAUGAAAGCCACGCUCUACUCUAUAACUCUACUGCCAGCUUUUUACAACCCUGUUCCAAUACUGUCUGCCAGUUCAGCAACAUCCCACAUUUUCAAAUGUAGAAGACAUUUUUUAAAAGAAAAUGCAAAGAUGUCGUUCACUUAUUUCACUGCAUCAUCAAAUUUACUUCCACUCGACACUCGGCUGACCACACUGCACUGGCACUUAUCUGCGUCCUUUAACUGAAAAUAUAUGACACUUCAAUUCACCAUUUGAAGUGGUACUACACGGGUACUACAAUGUCAUAAGUAAAUGUACAGCAGUGAUGGUGGUUCACGCUCUAAACCACGGGGGUAUAUGACAAUGCCAGCGCUGUCUGGACUGAGCUUACUGCAGCCACAUCUGGCACUCAGUAGAAGCAUGUUGGUCUCCCUAUUGCUGCAGGAGGACGGAUAAAGACACCUGAGCCCUGGGAGGACCAAGAUUUAGCCAAGAUGAAGCCGUAAUGGUCAACGAGCUGCCUGAUUCCAAACUGUCCCACCCUGUAGACCACCUAGAGACCAGUGAGGUCCACGAUUGCCUUGAUGAAAAUAGUGUCAUCACGUCUCUGGAAGGAGGAGGAGGUGACGUCGGGUCGGAAGGCGUCGAUGAUGUGCUCCCUGUUGCUCUGGUCCAGCAGCAUCAGAGUCACCUUAAGACAGAAGAAGAUGACUUUUCCAUGUAUAUUUUUC